GAGUACAGGUAGGACCUGCAUGGAAUUGGAGGGAAGGAGGGUCCCAUGUGAGCAAGGACCCAGGACCAGCCCCUGCCCCACUCCUCACCCCCUGAAGACCCUGCAGCCUCUCCAGCAGGCUGUGUCUGCAUCCUCUCCUCCCUGUGGUCCCAGGAGCACAAAGUGAUGAUGGAGAUCGUGCAGCUCCAGGAGGCUGCAGAGAAUUACAACCUAGAGCCCCAGGAGCGAUUCAGGACCUGGUUCUGGGACAUGGAGCAGCUCAGUGAGGAAGAGAGCUUCAGCCUGUCCUGCCAGCUGGAGCCCCGAUCCUAGUUGGCCAGCAAAUCUCUCCAGCCCCAGAGAGCACGGCCAUCAUGAAGCUGAGGAGGGAGUGAGUGUCCCAUGGCCGUAUGACCUCUUCCUUGGCAGCGGGGACCCAGCUGCGGCACUCGGGGUGCACGGGCCCCACCGCCUGCCACCCCUUCCCCGAGGACAGUUUCCAUCUCUGUAGGGGUGAGAAUCACUUCUUGUAAAUAGUUCAUGCCAGAUUUGCACACUGUUGUAUUAAAGUCCUGUUUCUCUUACAGCCUGGGAGUGGUGGUUCUUUCACAUUCUGUGCUAAUUUAAACGCUGUCCAGACUCUCAGAUUCCUCACUGGAUUAAGACCUAUUUCAGUCAUCCCAUUAUUGUGUGUGGGAGAGGGGGGAAGGUGCAGCCCCUCCCUUGCUGCUGAAGGAGACCCCAAGGGCCCCUUCUCAGAGGACAGGUCCGUGUCAGCAUCGUGAAGCUGGGCCAGGAGCAGAGACAGCCCCUCAGAUCCCUGAGAUGGGAGGUCGAGGUGUUUUCUCAGGCCGAGCAUCCACCACGGAAAUGAGGGGGUCCCUAGAGCCACCACUUGCCAGGCCCACUCUGUGCCCCAGGAGUGGGGUUGCCCGUCCACACUCUGGAGGGAGAGGAAACAUUUCCUGCGUCUCUUGUGGAGGUCUCUCUGGACAACGUGUUUGGGAACUUGUAGUUUCCUAGUUCAGCCUCUGGAAACGCAUCAGCUCUAAGUGGGGAAAACAGGCAGAGAUCAAACUGUGCGUGUGGAGAGGACAAGGCCAGGGGAAGGUCAUUUGUGCAGGGACUUCGGGCAGGCAGGACUUGCCCUCCUCAGUGUCCCUUGGGGUCCGUGCUCACCCUUUCCCUGGACGGGACUCCUGCUGGGACCGUGUCCCUGGCUCCAGAGUCCUCUCCCUGCUCGUCUCCUCUCCAGGGGAAGAUUUGUGGUGCAGCCCGCCAGGCUGCAGCUGGGGCCCGUUGCCGACACUCUCCUGCUCCCUGGGACCCAGGACCCCCAGCCCCUCCGCUUCCUCCUUUACUCUUGUCAAGUCAGAAGUCCCCUCAAGGCCCCCCAUCCCUCAGGUGCCUCAAGGCCACUCCUCCCUGCUGGGCCUGAUGGAUCCUGGUGAGCUGUGAUUUGCAGGCUAACAGGCCAUAAUCCUGGCUAGUGAGUGCACUUACACUCUCCCUUGCUGUCCAGAGUGACUUCUGGGCCACAUGGUUCUGAGGUCCAUGGUCUCACACAAGUGCCUGUUUACACACUCAGCUGUGUUGUUUCCAGCUCAUCCUAAGGGGCAGCUGGCCCAGCCCCUACGGCGUGCAGCCCCUGGACGCCUGUGCUCUUUUCCACAGUUAAGCUGUGACUGUGUCCCGGGGUUGUGAGCCUUUCCUGUUGGGAGCAUUGAAAGCUGAGACAUGAGAGGAGCGUGGGUGGGGGUGCAGCGGAGAUGCCCCCAACGUGAUGACCUCUGGACAUGCGUGGACAUGUGAAAAUGCCUUACCAGUUAAAAUACUGAAAUGCUUCCCAUGUGGGCGUAAACAGACAGCGCCCUGAGUUCAGCCCAAGGACCCACCCACUGACCAGGAGCUAAAGGGUUACCACCUGAUGCUUUGAACGUUAGCCCUGAAAAAUCUUGUAAGACAAGGGCCAGAGGAAGAGCUUGGCACUGCCUGAUGGCCGCAAGUGUCACCCAGCUCCCUGCAGGCUGGACUCUGCCAGGGCACCUUCUCAGGACAGCCAACCGCUGAGGAUAAACGCUGCUUCCCAGCAGCCCAGGCCCUUCCUGACACGGCACAGCCAUCCAGGAAAGAGAGUUGCCAACGGAGGAAUGGCUGUCCUUCCGCUCCAAAGGGAAGCAGAAGUGCCAGGUGCCAGGGCUGGUCCAGCACCGGGAUGAAGGCACGGGUGUCCGAAGGGUUUCUCCUGCAGGACUGUGGGGCUCCUGCGAGGCCAGCCUGCAUGGAGCGACCUUUAACAUGUUCCAUGCGCAUCGUGCGGCAGCGGGGGACAGCGCAUUGCAUCCUUGGGCAUCCAUUGGCCAAAAGUGCUGACAGUCCCCCGGAGAGACCCAUGUUUGCAGUGAGGGACCCCUAACAUGCUAUUGUUUUCUUUUUCAUUCUCAGCUUCAAAAUAUCUGUUUGGUUCUUUUUUGUGUUUUUUCGUGUUUCUUGUUUCUGAACUUUUCAUUUUGUCCUGCUCUUGCUUUCCUCAUUUCACUAAGCGGUUGGCUGUGUGCUCUUGUAGCUCUCUGUGCUGCUUCAGAAUGAUUCUUUUGAUCCCUUCUUCUACAGUAUUCCCAGGACGCUGCUUUUCAUUGUGUGUCCUCCACAUGGCUCCACGUUGGAGCCGGUCAACUGAGCAGACUGUUAAGCUCUCUGUCCCCCCGUGAGACACACACUGAACAGAGAACCUCUGCCGAGUGGGGCCCUACCACUGCGUUCCACUUAAACCUACUGUACGUUCCUUCCAGCGUUCUCCCAACCCUGCCUAUUCCGGUUCUUCACAGUGUUGCCAGGUUCCCGUCUGUGUCCCAGGAAUUGGACCAGUUCUUCUGGAGUGCAGCGCAGUUCCUCGGGGGGCCCAGUUUGCGCCUCACCCUUUGGGACCAGCUGGGAGUCAGGUUCACCUGGAUGGAGUCUUGGUCUGCAAGCCAAGGAGGCUGCUGGGCGUAGUCCUGAGGAGGAGCGGUGUCUUGCCAGGCAGUGCCCUCAGGGAGCCUCAGGAGGAGCCGAGUGAUCUCCUCAGACAGGAGGAGGAGGGCGCUGCUUCUAUGGACAAAGAGACGCUGCACAUCUGUGGAGCCUGAAGCCCAGCUCACCCAGGAAUGGCCUGUUGUCCCCGUUCCACCCUCAAGACCCCACUCCUAAAUCUACGCCAUCACUUUCACUGCUGUGUGGACGGGAAUUCCAUUUGGGCUGUGAUUCAGCCACUUGCAGGCAGACUCUGGGUUAGGUUUUCCGAAAUCUCAGCUCUGAAGCUACAGGAAAUAAGUGUUUAUUUCAGGGAAGAAGGAGAUGCUUCAGGUCCAUUACAUGGUGCUGGAGCUGCGAAUUGGACACCUGGACUCAUCUUCUUUCUUUCCUCACAUAAUCAGUGCAGUAGGAGCAGUAGUAAUUUCAUUACAUUAGUUAGUCCGAAAUGAUCUAAAGUAUCAAAUUCACGGCCACCCAGAACCUUGCCUUUUAUAAAUAUUUGAUUAGGAUUACACAAUGGUGAUACUUCGUAUAUCUCUAUUGCCAGAAAUUGCCAUGGACCAUUAGCUUCCUCUGAACACUGGAAAUAGGGCUGCUAGAAUGUUUCAUCAAAUUAGAGAGCCAAUUACAGAAACCCAGAACCAUUUUAGAAACACAUCUUUAAUAUUCUAUUCCUCUAGAACCAUCCUUGGCACCAAAAUCUGUAUUAGAGCUCUCCAGAGAACAGGAACAUAUAUGUAUAACAUGAACAUACACAUGUAUGAACAUACAUAGAGCCACGCCUCUCUUAACGACGGGGACGGGAUCUCAGAAAUGCAUCAUUAGGCAAUUUUGUCCUUGUGCAAACAGCACAGAGUGCACUUAGACAACCCUAGAUGGUGUGACCUACCGCACACCAAGGCUGUGUGGUACUAGUCUUAUGGGACCACCAUCGUAUUUGCAGCCCGUCACUGACCAAACGGUCACAUGCAGCGCAUGACUGUACAUGCAUGUGUAUGCAUACGUGCACACACGGACACACAGCGAGAGGUUUAUCUCACGGAGUUACUCUUGUGGGUGUGGGAGCUGGCAAGUUUGAAACGACGGGAAGGUCAGCAGACUAGAAACUCAGCAAGAUUUUAAGCUGCGACCUGAGGCCUAAUUUCUUCUUCACCAGGAAACCUAAUUUUCCCUCUAUGGGUUUCAACUGAGUAACUGACACGCCCCCACGGUUUAAAGGGUGAUACAGGCCUAUUUCAUUUGAUUGUGCUUCCCAGAUGUUGCGUCUUUUACAAGUUGAAGGUUUGUGGCAACCUUGUGUUGGACAAGUCUACUGGUGCCGUUUCUACAACAGUGUGUGUUCAGUUUGUGUCUCUGGGUCACAUCUUGGUAACUCUCACAGUAUUUCAAACUUUUUCCUUACUAUUCUGUUUGUCUUGGUGAUCUGUGCUCAGUGAUCGCUGAUGUUACUAUUGUAAUUGUUCUGGGGCUCCACGAAAUGCGUCCAUAUAAGACAGCAAACAAUCAAUAAAUGUUGUGUGUGUCCCCACUGCUCCACCGAC